AGGAAUCCAAAAAGAGAGAAAGAAAGUUUCACCAUGAAUCGUCUUGGCUUGGCUUUACUUGUGCUGAUUGCACUGGCAGGCAUUAUCAGUGAACAGGAAGGUGUUGAAGCAGCCACUCAUACUUGUCGACAACAUAAAGGUAUCUGCCGGACAAGAUGCUGUCGCAGAGGGGAGUAUAAUAUGGGUCGGCAUGCAGGCUGCCAAAGACAUCAAGUUUGUUGCCUAAGAUAAAGAAACCCACCACUGAACAAGAACCAUCCAAAAAAGACAAGAAGAAAAUAAUUUACUUUAGAAGAUGCUUUUACCUUGCAUGCAGCUAUGAUUAUUAUACUGUAUCCACAUCAUCUCUUACAGCUGUUGUUACACCAGUGAAGAUCUGUCAGAAU